rnacentral:rRNA from 1 species
CAGUCGCCACGGGAAUACGCAGGUGGCAAGCGUCGUCCGGAAUUAUUGGGCGUAAAGGGCUCGCAGGCGGUUUCUUAAGUCUGAUGUGAAAGCCCCCGGCUCAACCGGGGAGGGUCAUUGGAAACUGGGAAACUUGAGUGCAGAAGAGGAGAGUAGAAUUCCACGUGUAGCGGUGAAAUGCGUAGAGAUGUGGAGGAACACCAGUGGCGAAGGCGACUCUCUGGUCUGUAACUGACGCUGAGGAGCGAAAGCGUGGGGAGCGAACAGGAUUAGAUACCCCUGUAGUCCCUGUCUCUUAUAC